AUCAUUCGUGGUUUCGAACCCGUAGAACCAAGGUUGAAAGCAUCACUUACCUCAAGCCAAGCCAAAACUCUAGCUCGCGACGCGUUUUCCUCUUGAAUUAGUCUCCGAUUGCCUCGAAUCUAUCCAAAAUGAGUUCAUAACCAUCAAAAUAUGCCAAGGGAACAAAAGCCCGCCCGGAAUAAUCAAGUUAUAUGAAAUUCCCGAAAUUUGUAAAAACCCGACCACAGGCCCACAUUUCAAAAUCCGAUUAAAAUUACAAAAUUAUAAAGCCCAUUCACUCCCGAGUCUACCCGUAUAACAUUCAUCCAAAUUUGACGUUAUAUGGCCCUCCACCAGUCCCACGUUUCAAAAUCCGAUUAAUAUUACAAAAUUAUAAAGCCCAUUCACUUCCGAGUCUACCGGUAUCAGAUUCAUCCAAAUCUGACGUUAAAUGGCCCUCCAAAUCAUCAAAAUUCAUUCUCCAAUUUUCUUCCAUUCUCCCUAAUUUUACUCCAAAUUCUCAAAUUAAAUGAUAAGAAUCAAGUCCAGAUUAUGGAAUUUAUACCAAUACAAGUGAAGAAUACUUACCCCAAUUACUCCUUUGAAAUUCCUCUCCAAAUUCACCUCUUCCCGAGCUCUCAAAUGAG
rnacentral:lncRNA from 1 species